ACGAAGCCUAGACAUGGUAAGCCAUGUUGUCGGAACCCUAAAAAGUUCUAGCUUUGAAUCAGGGUACAAGCAAGGGCUUCAGAUCUGCAAUUACAUAUCGUGCGUCACCACCAACAACAUUUAGCGGUGGCAACCGUCCCCAAGGCUCCGGUGUUCUUCAGUUCUUUUUUCUCGGUUUCACUUAUAGGGUUUCACAUUGCUUUGUUGCUGUGCUGAUUUGAAGGGUUUCACCUUACUUUGUUGUUGUGUGGAUUGCUUUAAUUUGAAGGUCACAGGAGAUGGAUGACGCAGACAUAUCAACCCUUAGACCAGAGGGAGCUGUACCAGCAGUUGAGGUACCGAAUUACAGCGACCAUCUUUGACAAAACUGGAGAGAAAGGGUAGAGCUACGGCUGUGCUCCGGCGACAACCCAUGGAAGUCAGCAUUUGACGACCUGAAAGGGGGGAUCAGUUCUGGAAUAGCAAUCGGUUGCGGUGCCAUCUUCGGGGUGGUAUUCAUCAGGGAAGGGUUCUGUUUGCCCCGUCGCGAAGCACGGGUGGAAACCACUAGUUUCCUACAAAAAAGUUAUGUUAUUUGUUAUUUAUCAUUUUUAGAAAAUAGAUAAUUUAAAAAAAUGAUAAGUUUGUCGGAAAUUUGUUGCAAAUUGAUAGCAAUUGCUACAAAUUUCCUACAAAAAGGCUAUUAUUCAACACAUUAAAAAGAAAACAUAAUUUUAAAAAAUAAAAUAUUUGAUUUCUCGGAAAUUUGUAGCAAAUUGACACCGGUUGCUACAUAUUUCCUAAAAAAAGUUAUGUUUUUGUUAUUUAUCAAUUUUAGAAAAAUAGAUAAUUUUAAAAAAUAAAAUAAUAAAUUUGUCAAAAUUUGUAGCUAAUUGACACAAGUUACUACAAAUUUCCUACAAAACAGUUGUUUAUAGAAAAAAAAAACAUAGUUUGAAAAUAUAAAAUGUUGAGUUUGUCGAAAAUUUGUAGCAAAUGAACAUCACUUGGUACAGAUUUCCUACAAAAAAGGUUAUUUUAAUUUAUCAAUUUCGAAAAAAAACAUAUAAUUUUAAAUUAUAAAAUGUCAAAUUUGUCGGAAAUUUGUGGCAAUUGACCCUACGAUUCUGUACUAUACUAUAUCAUACCUCAUAUACGAUACUAUACUAUGUUGUACCAUACGAUACAAUCCUACACUACACUAUACGACACGGCACUACACGACGCAACAUGACACGACACUGUACUGUACUAUACGAUAUUAGUAUAGUAUACUAUAUUACAUUGUGCGAUACGAUACGGUCCUAUACUAUACAACACUACACUAUACUAUACUAUACGAUGCUAUCAUAUACUAUACAAUACUACACUCAUAUACUAUGCUACACUAUACUAUACUAUAUUGUACUAUAUUGUAAUAUACUAUACUAUAUUGUACGAUACGAUACCGUGAUGAACUACCGGUAUUCGCUUUUAAUCUAAAAGGUGUACAAGCAUAUCAUGAUUUUAAACCGAGUGCAGGUCCUAUAACAAUUCCGAACGUUACCACCCCGAAUCCCUUGCGUAACGAAUCGAACCGAUACGGACGAUUUCUCGCCGCAUACCACGGGCAAAUCCCACUAGUUAUAUAGACGAUUCUAGACGAUAUUGACACUUUAUUUUUCACACGUUACCUAAAAGA
rnacentral:lncRNA from 1 species